GACCGCUCCGGUGGCCUAGUGGUUAGAGCGUCCGCCUCGGAUGCGGAAGGUCGCUAAUUCAAACCCCGGCUGAGUCA